rnacentral:rRNA from 1 species
AGCCUGAGCAGCGACGCCGCGUGGGUGAGAAGGCCUUCGGGUUGUAAACCCCUUUUCCCGGGGAAGAAAAAGGACGGUACCGCAGAAAUAACCCCCGGCUAACUCCUUGCCAGCAGCCGCGGUAAUACGUAGGGGGCAGGCGUUCUCCGAAUUUGCUGGGCGAAAGGGGGGCGUAGGCGGUUGGAUAAUUCUGUUGUGAAACCUCCCGGUUCAGCUGGGAGAGGUCAUGGAAUACUGCCCUACUGGAGGGCAGAAGAGGAAAGCAGAUUUCCCGGUGUAGCGGUGAAUUGCGAAAAUUUCGGGAGGAACACCAGUGGCAAAGGCGGCUUUCUGGGCUGUUCCUGACGCUGAGGCACGAAAGCGUGGGAAACAAACAGGAUUAAAUACCCGGGUAGUCCACCCCCUAAACGAUGGAUACUAAUUAUGGGGGUUAUCGACCCCCGUGGUGCCGCAACUAACGCAAUUAUCCUCCCGGCUGGGUACUACCGCCGCGAUGCUAAUACUC